AUCACCACAGAGCCAAGUAAUAGACUGAAUGAAUGAAUGACCCUUCAGCUUAAGUAGGCCAGUACUCCAUGUUUCCCUGCUAAUUAUUCAAGUUUAGGACAUGAUGCCCCAUUUCAUGCAAAAUUUAGCAGAAUAUAUCAGGAAAAUGAGCCCUACAACAUGAAGCUCCUACAGCAGUAGUGGAAGGCUUAGCGUGGUCAUUAAGGUCUAGUUUACCCAUCUUCUCUCUGAAUGCUGCAGAUCAACACCCACUACUGCAGGUCAACCCACACUCCCUGCCCUCACACACCAAACCAACCCAUCUUGUACGCAUCUUCAAAUGGUGUGACAGCUUUGUGGCCCGUUGGUUAGGCUGAACUACAUUUCCCAGAAUCCCCUUCUCUCGCAUGUUUCCUGUUAACCGUGGUAUUCUCCCAGGAGAGCUGGAAGGCAAAAGGGAGCCAGCAACUAUUUUGUCACACAUACAUUGUUGCCAAUCUGCCGACUUGCCUCUGUGACAUGAAACAAUUGCUCUCUUCUCCCUCGGAAUUUUCCCUCCAUUUCUCUGGCUCCUGGGCCAGGUAUGUGUGUGCUCAGCUCAUGAGGAAGGACUCCGGCUCCUGCAGGAAACCCUCAUCACCAAGGUCAGAGGCAACAAGAACAGACAUGGGGUUCAAUUCAUCCUCACAGGAUUCCAGCUUACACACAUGGGGUUCUAGCCUGCUUGUGCUUUUCCCUUUCAGAUCACCUGCCUGGGGACUUCAAGCUCUAGCAUCAGACUAAGAGCCAGCCCUGUGGAGACUGCUUAGCCAAGGGAGGAGAAACUGUCAUGGAUUGAAAGAGAUAUAAGAGCUGGAUCAACUGAAUGCAAAGUGAAGACAUUAUUUGAAAUCUGGUUGGAAGAACCUAACCAAAAGAACACCAUUUUGAGACAACCAUGGAACAUAAAGCAUGAAAGAAGUAUUCUAUGAUAUUAAGCAAUGAUUAUUAUUUUUGUUGUGAUGAUGAUAUUGUGGUUAUUUUUUAAUCCUUGUCUAUUGGAGAUACAAACGGAUGUAUUUACAGGCG
rnacentral:lncRNA from 1 species